rnacentral:lncRNA from 1 species
UUCUCUUCUCAAGAGAAAGAAGAAUAUCUAAAGAAAAGAAGAACAAAAGAUCUCAUCUCUUUUCUUAUCUUUUUUCAUCCAACUCUUGGACUGAUCAUAGAGGAGAAAUCAUAUCCAACUCUUGGAUACCUUUGGAGGAGAAGAUAUAUCCAACUCUUGGAUAUCCAUGGAGGAGAAGGAAAAGAAAAAAUCAUGUCCAUCUCUUGGACAAAAGAGAGAGAAAGGGAAGGGGAAGAUAUCUUAACAACCAACUCUUGGUUGCAAAAGAAGAGAGCUCCAACCAACCUCACGCC